rnacentral:rRNA from 1 species
GACGAACGCUGGCGGUGUGCUUAACACAUGCAAGUCGAACGGAAAGGCCCUGCUUUUGUGGGGUGCUCGAGUGGCGAACGGGUGAGUAACACGUGAGUAACCUGCCCUUGACUUUGGGAUAACUUCAGGAAACUGGGGCUAAUACCGGAUAGGAGCUCCUGCUGCAUGGUGGGGGUUGGAAAGUUUCGGCGGUUGGGGAUGGACUCGCGGCUUAUCAGCUUGUUGGUGGGGUAGUGGCUUACCAAGGCUUUGACGGGUAGCCGGCCUGAGAGGGUGACCGGCCACAUUGGGACUGAGAUACGGCCCAGACUCCUACGGGAGGCAGCAGUGGGGAAUAUUGUACAAUGGGCGGAAGCCUGAUGCAGCAACGCCGCGUGCGGGAUGACGGCCUUCGGGUUGUAAACCGCUUUCGCCUGUGACGAAGCGUGAGUGACGGUAAUGGGUAAAGAAGCACCGGCUAACUACGUG